CUUUAAAACAAAAGGCAGAAUAUAAAACGUUUGUUCCUUAACUCCUUUUCUAUAACAUGAUAACAACAGUUCUUACCAGAUAACAGUGUUUAGAGGCUCAAGUUAAUAAUUACAUCAAAUCAUUGUCAAAGAUUGAAGUCUAGCUGGGCAUGGUGGCACACGCCUAUGAUCCCAGCACUCAGGAGACUGAGACAGGAGGAUCAUUGUGACUUUGUGGCCAGCCUGGAAUAUAUGAUGUCGCUUUCUCUGUGACACUUCGUGACUCAGAGGUAAAAGGGAAAAUCAGUGGUUCACUCCUAGCUUCUCCCUAUCUGCAGACAGAUGUCAGGAAGGCCAACUGCUCAAAUGUCCAUUAAAUUUACCUGUAAAUAUACUGAAGAAGGAGAUCUGUGAAAGGAAGAUAAACAGAAGAGAUUGGGAGGAGGAAUAAAAAUGGCAAGAUUUGAUAUGUGUAUUUAUCAGACUACCAAGCUGAAUGUAAUCACUAUGUAUCAUGAAUGUGUACUAAUAAAAAAGUAAAAAAGAAAAAGUCAGUUGUUGAUUGCAUAGGUUCGAAUAUUCCAAGAAGUGUCCCAAGGCAUCAAAACGAAAAUAAUAUUUAUGCUACAGAAUUUAUUAUUGCUCACUGCCACUUUCUUUUCCUAUUCUCAUUCCAAAAGGCUUUAAUAUUUUCUAGGGCUUGGAAGGGGAUUUUGUUCUUAGCUCUUUGGUGCAAAUCAACCAUGGAAAUAAUAUCAUUUAAAAGGGCAAUGUUAACUUGAUUCUUUAUUGUAGGUGAUCAGAAAUUUUGCUUGGAGAUAAUGUUUUUAAUAUAUUGGCUGUAGGUGUUUUGUAACUGUGGAUGUUUUGUGCAUAUGUUCUUCAGCAUUUCUAUAGUAUAGGAACUUUUCCCUUAAGGUUUUUUAAAGUUUUUAAAUUUUUCCCAUUAAGGUUUUUUUUUGUAAAAGUGUA